rnacentral:rRNA from 1 species
GACGAACGCUGGCGGCGUGCUUAACACAUGCAAGUCGAACGGAAAGGCCCUGCUUUUGUGGGGUGCUCGAGUGGCGAACGGGUGAGUAACACGUGAGUAGCCUGCCCUUGACUUUGGGAUAACUUCAGGAAACUGGGACUAAUACCGGAUAGGAGCUCCUGCUGCAUGGUGGGGGUUGGAAAGUUUCGGCGGUUGGGGAUGGACUCGCGGCUUAUCAGCUUGUUGGUGGGGUAGUGGCUUACCAAGGCUUUGACGGGUAGCCGGCCUGAGAGGGUGACCGGCCACAUUGGGACUGAGAUACGGCCCAGACUCCUACGGGAGGCAGCAGUGGGGAAUAUUGCACAAUGGGCGGAAGCCUGAUGCAGCAACGCCGCGUGCGGGAUGACGGCCUUCGGGUUGUAAACCGCUUUCGCCUGUGACGAAGCGUGAGUGACGGUAAUGGGUAAAGAAGCACCGGCUAACUACGUG